UAGACCAGAAGAGGCGCGCCGCCCAGGCAGUAUGUCAGAGGAUCCGUAUCCGGUGACGGCAUAUCAGGGGGAGCGGCGCCGAGGCAACAAACAUGCGGAGUGUUUGUUAUGCCGACCACAGGGGCUGAAUCCUCUGGGUUGUCACCGUAGCGUAGCGUUCGUGAUGAAUGUUUCACAAGGUGGGGCGCUUCUGGCUGA
rnacentral:ncRNA from 2 species